UAAGUAUGUAAACAAAGGCGUAUCGUC
rnacentral:piRNA from 1 species